rnacentral:rRNA from 1 species
UACGAGGGGGGCAAGCGUUGUUCGGAAUUAUUGGGCGUACAGGGCGCGUAGGCGGCGCCACAAGUCACUUGUGACAACUCUGGGCUCAACUCAGAGCCUGCAAGCGAAACUGUGGUGCUGGAGUAUGGGAGAGGUGCGUGGAAUUCCCGGUGUAGCGGUUAAAUGCGUAGAUAUCGAGAGGAACACCUGGGGCGAAAGCGGCGCACUGGACCAUAACUGACGCUGAGGCGCGAAAGCUAGGGGAGCAAACAGG